AUGUAUUAAUUCUAUGAUUAAUAUUUUCACAGCUCAACACUAUCAUUUCUCUUUUGUGAUUUUUCUUGUCUUUUUUCUUCACUGUGGUAUAGGUGAAAAGUUUUCAUUGGUUAUCAAUUGUUAAUCUUAACUUGAGAAUAUGUUUGGUCCUCUUUAAUGGGUCUUCCCUUCCAACCACAAGAUUUGAACACUACCUUGUUCAAGAAAAGAGAAUGCACACAAACUAGUGAUUGUUAUAAUUACAUGAUUCGAAAUGAAAACAUUAAAAAAUGUCCCAAAAACCAUAGGCAAUUGCUCUAAAACUCCUGUAACUUGGAUCAAAACUAAAUAAAAAUGUUUGUAAAAAUGCUUACGUAAGAUGACAUGUCAUCAAUAAUCUAUCUAUUCUUUAUUAUGAAAGGCUAGAUAAUAAAUAAAAUAACUAAUGAAAGGUUUCUAAACAAGAAUGAACUUUAAUUAUAGCCAAAGCGACAAAUAUGAUUCAUCAAUGUACUUUAGAGAUAUUUAAUAAUUAUUCUAAUUAAAAAAAGGAUUUCUUACAACGACAUAAUUAUAAAAAUAAAAAUAAAAACAUGUUAUAGUGUAAACAUACAAAGAGGUUUGUUACUAUAUAAUAUGAUCAAACCAUUUUAUAUUUGUUACAUAUGAAAAGGUAAAAAAAAAUGGAUGAAACUCUUAAGUUUGUAUAUAUUUAGAUCCUUUUUGUUUCCCUAUGUCUUGUUGUAGCCGAUGGCGUAAAGAAUAUUAACAGAGAAUGCACACAAACUAGUGAUUGUUAUAAAAAAUAUCCGUUUAUUCCUUGGGGAAAAGUGAGGUGCGUUAAAGGUCGUUGCAGAUUGGAUAUGUAGUUAAGGUGAUCCUGAGUAGUAGGUGGUGGCUCAAAGUGUCUAGGGCUCUGAUACGUGGGAUGGGAUUUUAAUGUUACUUUCAUUCCUAUGUAUUAAAUUUUGGAACUUGAUGUGUAGCCCUAUUUGAUUGUUGAAUUAUGUUGUUGAGGCUUUUAUGCCAAAACUUUAUUGGAGAAUUAACAUGUUGGAUGUGGUGAUUAUUUAAUGUUAAGAAAAUAUUUCCGCUGCAUAAUUAA